GAAUCACGGUUGAAACAAGAUUUGCCAUGAGAAGUCAGCAGAAGCCAUAGUACCUGACGUAGAUAGACGACAGAAGGGAAGGGC
rfam:Paenibacillus pectinilyticus strain KCTC13222 scaffold4, whole genome shotgun sequence.